GCGCGGGCUAUACAUGCAAGUCGAGCGAACGGAUAAGGAGCUUGCUCCUUUGAAGUUAGCGGCGGACGGGUGAGUAACACGUGGGUAACCUACCUAUAAGACUGGAAUAACUUCGGGAAACCGGAGCUAAUGCCGGAUAACAUAUAGAACCGCAUGGUUCUAUAGUGAAAGAUGGUUUUGCUAUCACUUAUAGAUGGACCCGCGCCGUAUUAGCUAGUUGGUAAGGUAAUGGCUUACCAAGGCGACGAUACGUAGCCGACCUGAGAGGGUGAUCGGCCACACUGGAACUGAGACACGGUCCAGACUCCUACGGGAGGCAGCAGUAGGGAAUCUUCCGCAAUGGGCGAAAGCCUGACGGAGCAACGCCGCGUGAGUGAUGAAGGUUUUCGGAUCGUAAAACUCUGUUAUUAGGGAAGAACAAAUGCGUAAGUAACUGUGCGCAUCUUGACGGUACCUAAUCAGAAAGCCACGGCUAACUACGUGCCAGCAGCCGCGGUAAUACGUAGGUGGCAAGCGUUAUCCGGAAUUAUUGGGCGUAAAGCGCGCGUAGGCGGUUUCUUAAGUCUGAUGUGAAAGCCCACGGCUCAACCGUGGAGGGUCAUUGGAAACUGGGAAACUUGAGUGCAGAAGAGGAAAGUGGAAUUCCAUGUGUAGCGGUGAAAUGCGCAGAGAUAUGGAGGACACCAGUGGCGAAGGCGACUUUCUGGUCUGUAACUGACGCUGAUGUGCGAAGCGUGGGGAUCAAACAGGAUUAGAUACCCUGUAAGUCCACGCCGUAACGAUGAGUGCUAAGUGUUAGGGGGUUUCCGCCCUUAGUGCUGCAGCUAACGCAUUAAGCACUCCGCCUGGGGAAGUACG
rnacentral:rRNA from 1 species